rnacentral:misc_RNA from 1 species
CUUCUACACGUUUCAACAAUACAUUCUGCACGUUUUGCUUGCGACGAAACAACGAAUGCGAAUGGUUCGUUGAAAUAAACGAAGCCUUGUUAUAAUACGUCGCUAUCAACUGUUACCAAGAUAAACGGUCCAUUGGGGAAGAAUGUUGUCUUACAUCAUCAAUUUAUUAUUAUUUUGCCAUUAUAUGCUUUGAAUAAUAAAAAUACCCCCGUGGCGUCCUGAGC